UUGAAACCCCUCGAGGGAGAGUAAAUGUUGAGUGAAUUUUCAUUUUUGAUUGAAUUGUCCUUUAAUCUCAGGAGAACAAAUUUGGGAAAAAAAUUAAGGUGAAACUAAAAAACUAAGGGCUAAGGAUUAUUUUAUUUAUAUAUUUAUUUGAGUUUUUUUUUUCUUCAACUAUGGUUUAAGUUGAGGGGUUUCAAAACAGUGGACUAUGGAGAGUUAUGUAUUUAAAACCAUGCUGAUUUUUUUUUUUUAUUUAAACUGUUGCUAAUGCUACUGUAAAUAUGGAUUAUGAAAUGAGGGUGUUUUUUAUAAAGUUUAAAAAAGUAACAGGAAAUGGGUUAUAUACUAUUUAAAGAUUUGUUUCUGUUUUCUGAACUUGACAAAAAUUGUAAGGAGAUUUAUUUGUUUUUGGAAAAGAACUAGAGGAUAAUAGAUUUAAAUCUUUAUUGAUAUUUUUAAGGUUUAUAUGAUAGAAUUUAGUGGGCUAAAUGGUAGUUAGUGAUCCCGAUUUUGAAAGAGGUCCUAAUCAAUAGGUGGCACUGUGGCAGUAAUACGCUUAUAAAUAAAUCUGUAUGCAAAACGGCAAUGUCUAGAAGAAGACAACGAUACGGUGACCACAACCAACACGAGGUUCACGGCUCUACAGAAUUCUCUUCUGAUGUUUAGCUGUGGUCCCUUGAUCCAGACACUCCUCAGCAACCAGUCUUUGUAUGGAAUCCACCGUUCUCUAUAAAGAUCUAUUUGUCUCUUCUUCCACUUCCAUCAGGGUCCAGUGACUACUAGGGGGUCUCUGCAAACUUCCAUUGACCACAAGAUAAGGAUUCACUCAAGGAAGGAUUAAAUGCCACCAUCUCACCCCAACCCUUUGGUGCAUCUGCAUUGGAAAUUAUUGGUCAAUUUUUGAGUGAUGGCCUUUCCACCACCAUACCUUUUAAAAUAGUAACAUAUGAAUGGUUAAUUGUUUUAGGCUGCAGCCAUUUAUUUUAAUUUCCAAUAAUACAUUUUAAACUGAAAUUGUAUGAAAUGCCAUGUUAUUUUAUGUAUUGUAAAAAAAACAAGUUAUUCAACACCAUUUCAACUAAUGUCAAGCAAUUUUAGAAUGUGACUGUUAUGCAUAAUUACUGCAUCCUCCUUACCACACAAUUCUUAUAACAAUUGACAUAACAACAGUGCAGUUAAGGUCUGACCAUGUCAAAGUUGUAUCAACUGCAGCUUUUAUACAUAAAGUAAAUGGGGUUGUUUAAAUUGAAA